GACGAACGCUGGCGGCGUGUUUAACACAUGCAAGUCGAACGGAAAGGCCCUGCUUUUGUGGGGUGCUCGAGUGGCGAACGGGUGAGUAACACGUGAGUAACCUGCCCUUGACUUUGGGAUAACUUCAGGAAACUGGGGCUAAUACCGGAUAGGAGCUCCUGCUGCAUGGUGGGGGUUGGAAAGUUUCGGCGGUUGGGGAUGGACUCGCGGCUUAUCAGCUUGUUGGUGGGGUAGUGGCUUACCAAGGCUUUGACGGGUAGCCGGCCUGAGAGGGUGACCGGCCACAUUGGGACUGAGAUACGGCUCAGACUCCUACGGGAGGCAGCAGUGGGGAAUAUUGCACAAUGGGCGGAAGCCUGAUGCAGCAACGCCGCGUGCGGGAUGACGGCCUUCGGGUUGUAAACCGCUUUCGCCUGUGACGAAGCGUGAGUGACGGUAAUGGGUAAAGAAGCACCGGCUAACUACGUGCCAGCAGCCGCGGUGAUACGUAGGGUGCGAGCGUUGUCCGGAUUUAUUGGGCGUAAAGGGCUCGUAGGUGGUUGAUCGCGUCGGAAGUGUAAUCUUGGGGCUUAACCCUGAGCGUGCUUUCGAUACGGGUUGACUUGAGGAAGGUAGGGGAGAAUGGAAUUCCUGGUGGAGCGGUGGAAUGCGCAGAUAUCAGGAGGAACACCAGUGGCGAAGGCGGUUCUCUGGGCCUUUCCUGACGCUGAGGAGCGAAAGCGUGGGGAGCGAACAGGCUUAGAUACCCUGGUAGUCCACGCUGUAAACGGUGGGUACUAGGUGUGGGGUCCAUUCCACGGGUUCCGUGCCGUAGCUAACGCUUUAAGUACCCCGCCUGGGGAGUACGGCCGCAAGGCUAAAACUCAAAGGAAUUGACGGGGCCCCGCACAAGCGGCGGAGCAUGCGGAUUAAUUCGAUGCAACGCGUAGAACCUUACCUGGGUUUGACAUGGAUCGGGAGUGCUCAGAGAUGGGUGUGCCUCUUUUGGGGUCGGUUCACAGGUGGUGCAUGGCUGUCGUCAGCUCGUGUCGUGAGAUGUUGGGUUAAGUCCCGCAACGAGCGCAACCCUUGUUCACUGUUGCCAGCACGUUAUGGUGGGGACUCAGUGGAGACCGCCGGGGUCAACUCGGAGGAAGGUGGGGAUGACGUCAAGUCAUCAUGCCCCUUAUGUCCAGGGCUUCACGCAUGCUACAAUGGCUGGUACAGAGAGUGGCGAGCCUGUGAGGGUGAGCGAAUCUCGGAAAGCCGGUCUCAGUUCGGAUUGGGGUCUGCAACUCGACCUCAUGAAGUCGGAGUCGCUAGUAAUCGCAGAUCAGCAACGCUGCGGUGAAUACGUUCCCGGG
rnacentral:rRNA from 1 species